rnacentral:tRNA from 1 species
GGAGAGAUGGCCGAGUGGUUAAAGGCAACAGACUGUAAAUCUGUCCGUGUAAUGCGUACGAAGGUUCGAAUCCUUCUCUCUCCA